rnacentral:rRNA from 1 species
UACGGAGGAUGCGAGCGUUAUCCGGAAUGAUUGGGCGUAAAGGGUCCGCAGGUGGCAGUGUAAGUCUGCUGUCAAAGAAUGAGGCUUAACCUCAUCAAGGCAGUGGAAACUACACAGCUAGAGUACGGUCGGGGUAGAAGGAAUUCCUGGUGUAGCGGUGAAAUGCGUAGAGAUCAGGAAGAACACCGGUGGCGAAAGCGUUCUGCUAGACCUGUACUGACACUGAGGGACGAAAGCUAGGGGAGCGAAUGGG